rnacentral:rRNA from 1 species
GACGAACGCUGGCGGCGUGCUUAACACAUGCAAGUCGAACGAUGAAGCCUAGCUUGCUAGGUGGAUUAGUGGCGAACGGGUGAGUAAUACGUGAGUAACCUACCUUUAACUCUGGGAUAAGCCUGGGAAACUGGGUCUAAUACCGGAUACGACCAAUCUCCGCAUGGGGUGUUGGUGGAAAGCGUUAUGUAGUGGUUAUAGAUGGGCUCACGGCCUAUCAGCUUGUUGGUGAGGUAACGGCUCACCAAGGCGACGACGGGUAGCCGGCCUGAGAGGGUGACCGGCCACACUGGGACUGAGACACGGCCCAGACUCCUACGGGAGGCAGCAGUGGGGAAUAUUGCACAAUGGGCGCAAGCCUGAUGCAGCGACGCCGCGUGAGGGAUGACGGCCUUCGGGUCGUAAACCUCUGUUAGCAGGGAAGAAGAGAGAGUGACGGUACCUGCAGAGAAAGCGCCGGCUAACUACGUGCCAGCAGCCGCGGUAAUACGUAGGGCGCGAGCGUUGUCCGGAAUUAUUGGGGCGUAAAGAGCUUUGUAGGCGGUUUGUCGCGUCUGCUGUGAAAGACCGGAGCUUAACUCCGUGUAUUGCAGUGUGUACGGGCGACUAUAUUGCAGUAUGGGAGACUGGGAAUUCCUGGUGUACGGUGGAUUGCCCAGAUAUCAUGAUGAACACCGAUGGGAAUGCAGUCUCUGGGCUGUAAUGACUGUGAUAAACGAAAGCGUGGGGGAGCGACAUGAUUAUAUACCCUUGUAUUCCCAGGGCGAUGUCCACGGUUGGUCUUAGGUGUGUGGAUGCCGUGCGUGGCUGGGUGGGGGGGCUGGUUGCAGUUUAUGUUCAAUUGUGAAGGGUGGUGUAG